CAUAUAAUAUUGUGAUGGGCUUA
rnacentral:siRNA from 1 species